UACAGAGGUCUCAAGCGUUGUUCGGAUUCAUUGGGCGUAAAGGGUGUGUAGGUGGCGCCGUAAGUCGGUUGUGAAAUCUCGGGGCUUAACUCCGAAACUGCAUUCGAUACUGCGGUGCUUGAGGACUGGAGAGGAGACUGGAAUUCAUGGUGUAGCAGUGAAAUGCGUAGAGAUCAUGAGGAAGACCAGGGGCGAAGGCGGGUCUCUGGACAGUUCCUGACACUGAGACACGAAGGCCAGGGGAGCAAACGGG
rnacentral:rRNA from 1 species